rnacentral:rRNA from 1 species
UACAGAGGGUGCGAGCGUUGUCCGGAAUCACUGGGCGUAAAGGGCGCGUAGGCGGCUCGGUCAGCGUGCGGUGAAAGCCCGGGGCUCAACCCCGGGUCGGCCGUGCGAACUGCUGGGCUGGAGCACUGUAGAGGCAGGUGGAAUUCCGGGUGUAGCGGUGGAAUGCGUAGAGAUCCGGAAGAACACCGGUGGCGAAGGCGGCCUGCUGGGCAGUAGCUGACGCUGAUGCGCGACAGCGUGGGGAGGCAAACAGG